CCGAUCCCAGAUGAAAGUAAGUAGCCGUCUGUAUCGCUCGCUCCGUUUAAGCUGUUAUCGGAUGGAGAAUUACGUCGCAAACCAAAGGGUCAACCUUGCUCGAUUAGAAUACGUAACAAUAUGGAUAUUUGAGAAAGAACGAACCAACAAAGGUUGUGCGGAUGGUAUAUGAACCCAGGCCAUAUAACUCGAUCAUGUCCAAAUCGGAAUAGCUGAUAGUUGUUGUAAUAAAA
rnacentral:lncRNA from 1 species